rnacentral:rRNA from 1 species
AGUAGCGGCGAGCGAACAGGGAUUAGCCCAGCACUGAAUCCCGGGUCGGUAACGGCCGGGAAAUGUAGUGUUAGGGAGGAUCCACAUUCCCGCGGUGACAGGCGCGUCCAAGUCCUUCUUGAACGGGGCCAUUUACCCAUAGAGGGUGCCAGGCCCGUAGCAGACCGCCGACAAUCGCGGGAGGAUCUCUCCUCAGAGUCGGGUUGCUUGAUAGUGCAGCCCUAAGUGGGUGGUAAACUCCAUCUAAGGCUAAAUAUAACCACGAGACCGAUAGCGAACAAGUACCGUGAGGGAAAGUUGAAAAGAACUUUGAAGAGAGAGUUCAAGAGUACGUGAAACCGUUCAGGGGUAAACCUGAGAAACCCGAAAGUUCGAAUGGGGAGAUUCAGUGCGUAUCGGGACGCGGGAACGGUUUACGUUUCCGCUCCGAGUGACGGCGUCGCCUCACGGCUUCGCACGCGCCGGCGUUUUCCGUUCCGCAGAACCGCGCCCUGAACGCGUGCACUUCUCCCCUAGUAGGACGUCGCGACCCGUUGGGCGUUUGUCUAAGGACCGCGUGCUAGCCCGUACGUCGGCGGCCGAUUUCGGUCGGUCGUUUUCGAUUGCGGAGCCGCGGACUUUCCCGGCAAACCGGCCCGACGGUAUUUAUGAGUGAGUUGGUGCGGGAUCGCGAGUUACUUGUGCGCGUCCGGCCCGUUCGCAAGCGCGUUCGGUAUCCGUGCGGUCGGACCUAGUGCCGACGCCGGUAUCGGACGACUGUUGGCGACGGUGCUCUCGGAGACUGCAGUCCCGCACGGUCGGCGACGCUAACGUUUUGGGUACUUUCAGGANNNNNNNNNNNNNNNNNNNNNNNNNNNNNAGCAUGUGCGCGAGUCAUUGGGACCAAUGAAACCUACAGGCGUAAUGAAAGUGAAUUGUCGUCGCGCGGGCGCUCGCGUUCGCGCGUUCGGCAGCAGGGAGGAUGGGCGUCAUGCUCGCGCGUGCGUCCCGCACUCCCGGGGUGUCUCGUUCUCAUUGCGAGAUGAGGCGCACCCAGAGCGUACAUGCUGGGACCCGAAAGAUGGUGAACUAUGCCUGGGCAGGACGAAGUCAGGGGAAACCCUGAUGGAGGUCCGUAGCGAUUCUGACGUGCAAAUCGAUCGUAUGACCUGGGUAUAGGGGCGAAAGACUAAUCGAACCAUCUAGUAGCUGGUUCCCUCCGAAGUUUCCCUCAGGAUAGCUGGCGCUCAUUGCGAGUCCCAUCCGGUAAAGCGAAUGAUUAGAGGUAUUGGGGUCGAAACGACUUCAACCUAUUCUCAAACUUUAAAUGGGUGCGAUCUCCGGCUUGCUCAAUUGUUGAAGCCGCGAGAAUCGGAUCA